GAUGAACGCUGGCGGCGUGCUUAACACAUGCAAGUCGAACGGAGGACCCUUGACGGAGUUUUCGGACAACGGAUAGGAAUCCUUAGUGGCGGACGGGUGAGUAACGCGUGAGGAACCUGCCUUGGAGAGGGGAAUAACACAGAGAAAGUUGUGCGAAUACCGCAUGAUGCAGUUGGGUCGCAUGGCUCUGACUGCCAAAGAUUUAUCGCUCUGAGAUGGCCUCGCGUCUGAUUAGCUAGUUGGUAGGGGAACGGCCGACCAAGGCGACGAUCAGUAGCCGGACUGAGAGGUUGACCGGCCACAUUGGGACUGAGACACGGCCCAGACUCCUACGGGAGGCAGCAGUGGGGAAUAUUGGGCAAUGGGCGCAAGCCUGACCCAGCAACGCCGCGUGAAGGAAGAAGGCUUUCGGGUUGUAAACUUCUUUUAUGAGGGACGAAGGAAGUGACGGUACCUCAUGAAUAAGCUCCGGCUAACUACGUGCCAGCCGCCGCCGUAA
rnacentral:rRNA from 1 species